rnacentral:misc_RNA from 1 species
AAAGUGUCAAUGCAGAGUAGUGGCUUGACCGGAAGAAGAUCCAAGAAUGUUGCAAGAAAGGCUGCUGCUUUACGAGGAUGUAGUUUUGGCAUUGAGGAACCACUAAAGAAAGAAGAAGAUUCUGGAGAAGAUCGUACAGCUAGUUCCAGCUCUUCCGAUUAUUUGAAAAGUGUCCGGCACAGAAGGCAGGACUCAUCUAUGGCUGAGCCUUCUAACAGUCUAAGACACGAGCAUCUUGA